rnacentral:rRNA from 1 species
GACAGAGGGUGCAAACGUUGUUCGGAAUUACUGGGCGUAAAGCGCGUGUAGGCGGCUAUGCAAGUCGGAUGUGAAAGCCCUCGGCUCAACCGGGGAAGUGCACCCGAAACUGCAAAGCUAGAGUCUCGGAGAGGAUCGUGGAAUUCUCGGUGUAGAGGUGAAAUUCGUAGAGAUCGGGAGGAACACCAGCGGCGAAGGCGCCUAUCUGGCUGACAACUGACGCUGAGACUCGAAAGCAUGGGGAGCAAACAGG